rnacentral:rRNA from 1 species
AACGAACGCUAUCGGUAUGCUUAACACAUGCAAGUCGGACGGACUAAUUAGGGCUUGCUCCAAUUAGUUAGUGGCAGACGGGUGAGUAACACGUGGGAAUCUGCCCAUCAGUACGGAAUAACUUUUAGAAAUAAAAGCUAAUACCGUAUAUUCUCUACAGAGGAAAGAUUUAUCGCUGAUGGAUGAGCCCGCGUCAGAUUAGGUAGUUGGUGAGGUAACGGCUCACCAAGCCGACGAUCUGUAGCUGGUCUGAGAGGAUGAUCAGCCACACUGGGACUGAGACACGGCACAGACUCCUACGGGAGGCAGCAGUGGGGAAUAUUGGAAAAUGGGCGAAAGGCUGAUCAAGCAAUACCGAAUGAGUGAUAAAGGCCCUAGUGUUGUAAAGCUCUUUUAGCAAGGCAGAUAAUGACGUAACUUGCAGAAAAAGCCCCGGCUAACUCCGUG